rnacentral:rRNA from 1 species
GAUGAACGCUGACAGAAUGCUUAACACAUGCAAGUCGAUGGGGAAGUAGUACUUGUACUAUGGUAACCAUGGCGGACGGGUGAGUAGCGCGUAAAGAACUUGCCUUUAGGACUGGGAUAACAGAGGGAAACUUCUGAUAAGACCGGAUAUAAUUAUGUAAUUGCAUGAUAACAUAAUGAAAAGAGAUGCCUAAAGAGAGCUUUGCGUCCUAUUAGUUAGUUGGUGGGGUAAAGGCCUACCAAGGCGAUGAUAGGUAGCCGGCCUGAGAGGGUGGACGGCCACAAGGGGACUGAGAUACGGCCCUUACUCUUACGGGAGGCAGCAGUGGGGAAUAUUGGACAAUGGAGGAGACUCUGAUCCAGCAAUUCUGUGUGCAUGAAGAAGGUUUUCGGAUUGUAAAGUGCUUUCAGCAGGGAAGAAGAAAGUGACGGUACCUGCAGAAGAAGCGACGGCUAAAUACGUGCCAGCAGCCGCGGUAAUACGUAUGUCGCGAGCGUUAUCCGGAAUUAUUGGGCAUAAAGGGCAUCUAGGCGGCUACUCAAGUCAGGGGUGAAAACUUGUGGCUCAACCAUAAGCUUGCCUUUGAAACUGAGUAGCUAGAGUAUUGGAAAGGUGGGCGGAACUACACGAGUAGAGGUGAAAUUCGUAGAUAUGUGUAGGAAUGCCGAUGAUGAAGAUAGCUCACUGGACGAUAACUGACGCUGAAGUGCGAAAGCUAGGGGAGCAAACAGGAUUAGAUACCCUGGUAGUCCUAGCUGUAAACGAUGAUCACUGGGUGUGGGCAGGAAGACUGUCUGUGCCGAAGCAAAUGCGAUAAGUGAUCCGCCUGGGGAGUACGACCGCAAGGUUGAAACUCAAAGGAAUUGACGGGGACCCGCACAAGCGGUGGAGCAUGUGGUUUAAUUCGACGCAACGCGAGGAACCUUACCAGAUCUUGACAUCCUCAGAAGAAAAGCAGAAGUGCUUUUGUGCCUUCGGGAACUGAGAGACAGGUGGUGCAUGGCUGUCGACAGCUCGUGUCGUGAGAUGUUGGGUUAAGUCCCGCAACGAGCGCAACCCCUAUCGUUAGUUACCAUCAUUAAGUUGGGGACUCUAGCGAGACUGCCUGCGAAGAGCAGGAGGAAGGUGGGGAUGACGUCAAGUCAUCAUGCCCCUUAUGAUCUGGGCUACACACGUGCUACAAUGGGCAGUACAAAGAGGAGCGAGAUGGUGACAUGGAGCAAAUCUUUAAAGCUGUUCUAAGUUCGGAUUGAAGUCUGCAACUCGACUUCAUGAAGUUGGAAUCGCUAAUAAUCGCAAAUCAGCAAUGUUGCGGUGAAUACGUUCUCGGGUCU